rnacentral:rRNA from 1 species
UUGCCUACGGGAGGCAGCAGUGGGGAAUAUUGCACAAUGGGGGGAACCCUGAUGCAGCGACGCCGCGUGGGCGAUGGAGUAUUUCGGUAUGUAAAGCCCUAUCGGCAGGGAAGAAAAUGACAGUACCUGACUAAGAAGCCCCGGCUAACUACGUGCCAGCAGCCGCGGUAAUACGUAGGGGGCGAGCGUUAUCCGGAUUUACUGGGUGUAAAGGGAGCGUAGACGGUUCUGCAAGUCUGAAGUGAAAGCCCGUGGCUUAACCGCGGCACGGCUUUGGAAACUGUGGAACUGGCGUGCUGGAGAGG